UACGGGGGGUGCGAGCGUUGUCCGGAAUCACUGGGCGUAAAGGGCGCGUAGGUGGUUUGAUAAGGGUGUGGUGAAAGUCCGGGGCUCAACCCCGGAUCUGCCGUGCCGACUGUCAAACUCGAGGGCUGUAGAGGCAGACGGAAUUCCGGGUGUAGCGGUGGAAUGCGUAGAGAUCCGGAGGAAGACCGGUGGCGAAGGCGGUCUGCUGGCCCGAUACUGACGCUGAGGCACGAAAGCGUGGGGAGCAAACAGG
rnacentral:rRNA from 1 species